CAGAUGCCAGCUGCCAGUCUAAGGAGAAGGAUGCAAACAAGACAUAUUAAGUAAAAUAGUCCAACAUUCAACCUGGAUGAGCAAGCUGUAGAGGAAAAGGAAAUGAUUCUUAUGGAUCAGGAUAAAGGCUCACCAAAGAGACUGCAUGUGGGCAGCUCCCAGAAUAGGGAACGGCUCUUUGAAGGGCAUGAAAAUCUGCUCCAGAGCUGAGACCUGGAACUGACUCUCAAGUGCUGGGGGAAGCAUCUGAUGGUAGAUAAGGGCUUUGCAGGGUCUGACAUGCCCCAGCACCUCAGAAUGAAUAAGGGCAGGACCAGCCCAGAAGAAGCUUCUGCCUACAAACCCCUCCACAGGCUUUAGUUUUCAAGAAUCAGGAGAAACAGGAGCAGCUGUGCUGAAAAAGACCUAAACAAAAGCGCUGAGAUGAAGUCUUUUGUUCUUCCUCGAGGUA